UGAAAAUCGGACUUAGUGAUCCGGUGGUUCUGCGUGGAAGGGCCAUCGCUCAACGGAUAAAAGCUACCCUGGGGAUAACAGGCUUAUCUCCCCCAAGAGUCCACAUCGACGGGGAGGUUUGGCACCUCGAUGUCGGCUCAUCACAUCCUGGGGCUGUAGUAGGUCCCACGGGUUGGGCUGUUCGCCCAUUAAAGUGGUACGCGAGCUGGGUUCAGAACGUCGUGAGACAGUUCGGUCCCUAUCCGUCGCAGGCGUAGGAAAUUUGAGAAGACCUGUCCUUAGUACGAGAGGACCGGGAUGGACGUACCUCUGGUGUACCAGUUGUUCUGCCAAGGGCAUGGCUGGGUAGCUAUGUACGGAAUGGAUAAGCGCUGAAAGCAUCUAAGCGCGAAGCCAACUUCAAGAUAAGAUUUCCCACCG
rnacentral:rRNA from 1 species